rnacentral:lncRNA from 1 species
UGCCUCUUACGCGUGGUGUUCACCUCCUCGGUGUCUGCUGUUUCCCACCGUCCUCGCGCAGCAGAUGUUCUCUGUUACAACGCAGAGUGGGCACGGUAGCUCCAGCAACUUGUUGCAACACACUUGUUGCUAAAGCGCAGCUGUUGCUAGCGCAGCUUUUCUGACAAGAGCAAGGAGAAGUUUGGGCUGUCCGACUUUCUCUUGCCCUUGCCCACGGGCCAGCCUUUCUCAGUGGUUGUGCAUGCAGCUAACCUGCUCAGCACCCCUGCAGGAAGCUGUCACUGCUGCAGGCUUCCUCGUGCUAGUUCCUUGCCUAGGAGGGGGUGAAAGGUGUGUGCGUGGCUGAGGGAGGACUCGGCCACGAUAAAAAGCUUUUAGUCAGUUCUCCUGCUGUGUUUUCAGCCAAGUUCUCGAUCUGGGGCUCGAUUAUUUGGUGAAUGCGUUUCCAUUUUGAUUAUAUGCUUGGGAAGGCAUGCUAACGACGAGUGCUUUGUGUAAUGGGGUGCCCCAUGUUACCUGGGGCUCAGAAGCAGAAGUCAGGUGGGGAAGGACAGCGAGCAGAGCACAAAUUACCUUGCAGCAUGGUGCCACGGUCCAGGAGAGCUUCUGCUUUGCUCCCACCAAGCACCUGAGCUGGCUGCAGAGCAGGCUCCUGAUGCGGGGCCAGGUAAGUGGUGAACAAGCCCCAGAUGUCUGUGCUGUACGAGGGGGAGGAGGCAGCACUGAUCCUGCCACGUUGGUGGGAGAUGUUAAUCACCAGGAGGUAAAUAACCUGCCUGCCGAGGCCUGGGGGGGCUGUUGGCUUCAAUAACAUAUCGCAUGCUGCGGGUUGGCUGUAGAGAGGCUAUUCCAAAAGGUGUUUGCAGGGCUGUGGAAGCGGCUUUAUGAAGAUGAAUGGACUCACCAGCCAUGAGGGAAUUGUGCAGCGUUCCCAUCGGCUAACAAGGAACUGAAAGCUGCCGGCAGCCUGGGGAAAGCGCAGCCCAAGGAGCUGAGCAAGAGAAAAGCAUCUCUGGGCUUGUCACACAGGACAGAAAUGACCCUGCAGGGCUGGGGCAGGGCAGCCAGGACAAGCUGCAUGAGCCCAGGACCCCAGGCCCUGCAUCCCUACACACCAUCCCUACAGGAAAUAGGGCAGGCUGGCUGGAUCUGGCACUGCCGGCCGUGCCAUCUCCCUGUCUGCCUGUGGGACACGAGCAGCAGCUGCUUGAAGGCAGAAGCUGAGGAAGACAGCAGCAGCCCGGCCCCAGGUCAAGUUUUACCAGCAACCAUUUGUCCCUGAAAUUAAACAUCUGAGCAUGGCCAGCCAGCUUGAGGAAAAAGAAAUGUAGUCGAGGCCAAGACUCAGAGUGGAGAGCUGGGAGAUGCAGAUUCAAGCCCUCAGCUUUGGUUAACAGAGAGCCAGAUUCCCUCUCCCUCCCCAGGGCUGCUCUGGGUAUGGCAGGGAGCGUCCCCAUAACCCCAGCGAUGUUCUCCCUGUGCUGCAGCACUGCGACAGGAGGUGGGAGCUUGCUUCGAGGGUGGGUGCCUGUGGCUGCUCCUGCCUUGUAGGAAGUGCCAUGAUUGAUGAGCACGAGCAGGACAUGAAACCGGGUCAGACGGACGGGCUGGGAGAAACCCCAUGAGCUGCUGUGGCCAGGAUGCCAUCAGCAAACCCUCGCACCAGGCAGUGUGGGGGUGUUGACCUUGACGGAGCCACGGUCUGUCCCCGGGGUAAGAAAAGCUCUUUGCUUUGUCUGCGGUCGGCCUGAGGUGUCACUGCGCUGUCGGCAGGGGUUUGGGCUGUCUGACAGUGCCCUAGCCUGUGGUUU